GAGCAAAACAGCUAUGGGUCAAGUAGGAGAACUAAGGGGCGAAGCUCCUCUUAUUGUGAGGGCGAGAAAAAAACACCAUAGGACUGGCCGUCCCAUAUGAAAAGAUUAUAUUAGAAUUGAAUGAAGCUUUGUUUAUAUAUUGUCUUCGAGAGUGUAUAUAUCGUGUCUUGACUAAUUGCGUGCCAGCAGUCGCGGUAAUACGUAAGAGACUAGUGUUAUUCAUCUUAAUUAGGUUUAAAGGGUACCCAGACGGUCAAUAUAGCUUAUAAAAUGUUAGUACUUGACUAGAGUUUUAUGUAAGAGGGCAGUACUUGAGGAGGAGAGAUGAAAUUUCGUGAUACCAAAGGGACUCUGUAAAGGCGAAGGCAGCCCUCUAUGUAUUUUUCUGACGUUGAAGGACGAAGGCACAGAGAACAAACAGGAUUAGAUACCCAAGUAGUCUUUGCAGUAAAUGAUGAAUGCCAUAGGUUAGAUGGGUGGGCUCGUCUAGUUGAGUUAGUUUAGCAAACUAAUGAUCUAGACGAGCCCACCGUAUAUUUGGUCUAUAAAUGAAAGUGUAAGCAUUUCACCUCAAGAGUAAUGUGGCAACGCA
rnacentral:rRNA from 1 species